CACGGGGGGAGCAAGCGUUGUUCGGAAUCACUGGGCGUAAAGGGCGUGUAGGCGGUUAGGUAAGUGGGAUGUGAAAUCCCUCGGCUUACCCGAGGACCGGCAUCCCAAACUGCCUGGCUUGAGUAUGGGAGAGGAUGAGGGAAUUCCUGGUGUAGCGGUGAAAUGCGUAGAUAUCAGGAGGAACACCGGUGGCGAAGGCGCUCAUCUGGCCCAAUACUGACGCUGAGGCGCGAAAGCUAGGGGAGCAAACGGG
rnacentral:rRNA from 1 species